rnacentral:rRNA from 1 species
GACGAACGCUGGCGGCGUGCUUAACACAUGCAAGUCGAACGGAAAGGCCCGGCUUUUGUGUGGUGCUCGAGUGGCGAACGGGUGAGUAACACGUGAGUAACCUGCCCUUGACUUUGGGAUAACUUCAGGAAACUGGGGCUAAUACCGGAUAGGAGCUCCUGCUGCAUGGUGGGGGUUGGAAAGGUUCGGCGGUUGGGGAUGGGCUCGCGGCUUAUCAGCUUGUUGGUGGGGUAGUGGCUUACCAAGGCUUUGACGGGUAGCCGGCCUGAGAGGGUGACCGGCCACAUUGGGACUGAGAUACGGCCCAGACUCCUACGGGAGGCAGCAGUGGGGAAUAUUGCACAAUGGGCGGAAGCCUGAUGCAGCAACGCCGCGUGAGGGAUGACGGCCUUCGGGUUGUAAACCGCUUUCGCCUGUGACGAAGCGUGAGUGACGGUAAUGGGUAAAGAAGCACCGGCUAACUACGUG